rnacentral:misc_RNA from 1 species
AAGGAAACGACAGCGUUUUAUUGCCCAGGAAAUAUUUUUUCCACCUCCAGUUGGUGCUCUGGCCAGAGAGUUUGCCUCGGUUACCAAAAAUCGCUCGAGCUGUUUCACCGUCAAAGGCUCCGCCAUAGCAUUUCCGUUCAGAUCAAAAUUAUCUAUUUUAAAUGGGAAGUAAAGGUCGAAUUCCUCCUCCUCAUCUGAGGCGUCCUCUUCCUGGUCCGGGUAUAGUGCACCCUGAUCCAUUUGUUCCUGGUGUACGCCCUCCGCUUGGCCCCAUUCCUCCAUUUGACAUAUUGCCACCCCCAGAAGUUAUGGAACAAAAGCUUGCUGCACAACAU